ACUGAGCGGGUGAGCAGAGCGUGCCUUGGCAUGUCUGACCCUUUGUUCAGUUGGAGACAAGCAAGGGUGGAGGAAGCCAGUCAUUUACUCACCGAUCCAGCUGUAAUGCAUUGAAAGUCCCUGUCAGGCAGUGCCGAGUGCAGGGAGGCAGAGACGUGUUAGUAAUUCAGCCCUACAAUGAAUGGAAGAUGGAGAACUUGGUUCUCUCACAACUGGAAAAUCCUGGGACUGUGCACCGGUUACUCAGCUCUGGAACUGCAGGCCUUUGAGAUUGGAAGCACCUGCCUUGCCUUCUCCACAGCCCUGAGAAGAGCCCAUAAGAGAUUGAAGAGCUUUACUCUGUACACCAACCCAGCAGCGGCUCCGCCUGACCCUUCCUUCUCUUAAAGGGACAGAUGGUCAAGGUGACUCCCUUCUCCCGCCCCAUGCCCUCAUCAUGUGGAUGUAGUUGCCAGUCUGUAUUCCUGUUUGCAGGCUCUCAUGGCGAGACAAGGGCCUCGUUUCCGACUGAUUGGUAUGAGGGGGCUAGGUAGACAUCUUUGCAUUGUUGGAACUCAGUCUUUCUUUGGCAGAUCUAAAUCCCUCCCUCUGACGUGACAUGAGGUCAGCUCUCCCCUGCAGAUAGAUACAUCCACCUGAUAAGCAUCUCAGGAUGGAAUUAUCUUCUCUUCUUCCCUCAUUCUGAGAGAGUCCAUGGGUGGACCUUGCCUGAACUGCCUCAGGGUGGAGCGAUUGCUGGAACAGGGUGGUGUGGCUCAGAGGCAUGGCUGGCUUUGGAGGGCUGGCUUCUGCCUCCUCGAUGGGCCGCUGACUGCAGGCCUUUAGCUUGUAUUUUGUGUCUCAGUGGGGAAUAGUUUUAAUUUUCUCCCCUCUAUUUGAAAUUGUUCAUCUGUAGGCUCCAUCUUGCAUAUAACUUGUAAGAAAGACAUUUGCAAGUUUUCUGUAAUCUUGUAUCAGGAAUAUGUGGGAGGUUUGGUCAGUAAUGCCGAGGCAGGCUCUCCGUGGAGUGUUAGUGGGUCACAGGGCCACUGAGGGCUUUAGGUCUGACCUUUGUUUUCCUUCUUGGGGGCUCUUAGUGCAGACGUAAUGUCCAGCACGUUGUUAACCCCAUGGACAAAUAAAGAGAGCCUAAAGCUCUCGUGUGUGGUUCAGCCAGAGUCUGACCUUAGUUGAAAGGACACAAAUGAAAGAAGUCAGAGAUUUGUAAGUGAGACCUGCCUGCACUGAUUUUAGGCACUCCAAAAGAACAGGGUUCCAUUCAGAGGUCAUGGUCCUCCUAUUUUCUUCUAGCUCAGAUGAGCCACAUGGCUCUUAGAACUUCCUCCCCUGAGUUCUUCCCCAACAUUAAUGCUCUUUCCUCCCAUGUCUGUGCAAUGCUGGUUUCUCCCACAAACAGGCUAUAAUGGAUUUCCCUUCUCUGGGGAAAAUACUGAAAGUGGGCGCCCAGGGCGUACGGCGCCGAGCAGCACAGGCCUAUCAUCCUUGCUUCAGUGCUAGCAGCAUAGGACAACGUGUCCUUUCCAAGAUAUAUGCACCUGUGCUCCUUGCCACCAGAUGCUUAGGCAACGGGCUCUGUCCCCUAUCUUUUUGAAAAUGAUACACAACAAAAAUUUUCUCUGCACAAUUAUAGCCACUGUGAUUCUGCUUUUUAAAAAGAGAAUUAUUUUCAUAUUUAUGUUGGCAAAUAUGGAAAAGGAAACUCUGUUUUCUGUCUCAGUGGGAGUCAACCGCAUUUCAGUAUGGAAGUGAAGACUCAGCUGUCACCCUGAGGUAGUCCCAAGCCUUCCUUCCCGACCUCAGAGCAAAACACACUGGCCUCAGCCUCUCGGUAGUCUGGCACCAUCACUUUUCUAAGCUUGCCUUCUGCUCCUACUGUUCACCUUGUGAGGUGGAGAAUCUCUAGUGUUUAGUUUUUUAACCUUUAUUUUGAAAAAUAUUUUUUAAAAAGAUCUACUGGUUAGAUUUUAUUGUCUCACAGAAAUGUUUUUAGAGAUUAUUUUGUUCACAGAUGUCUCUUUUCUCAUGCUGUGGACUGACCUUUGCCUACAAUGUCUUUUCAAUAUAGAUUUUAUUCACCAAUUUACUUAGUGUUUUUAAGAGGUACCGAGCAUUAAGGUAUGUAAAUCAGGUGACAUAAACAUGGAAAAUCAUGUGCCUAUUUUUUUAAUGAUGUCAAAUAAAUACUUUUUCUGGAAAA
rnacentral:lncRNA from 1 species